rnacentral:piRNA from 1 species
UCCAGUUCGAAUAUUGGGGACUUGAGGC